GAGUGCCAGCCAGUCAUUGCUGUUCUUUGCAUUGCUGAGGAGGACAGUCCUGCCAACAUAACAGUUUGUUCAAUAACAGGAGACAAACAGAAACACAGAGGUGCUAUACAUUUCAAUGGAAAAACAAAAGCAUCUCCCAUCAUUUUGGCGUGGCUCAGAUCAAGAGGAGAAUUUCAAGAAAGGUGAUGGUUGGCACACACAAGAAGACAUAGAUCACAGGUGUCCAGGCAUAUGAGUAGACAGGAGUUUCACACUCUGCCAAACUUACUUCAUCAGAGGAGCAGAAGGCUUCUCAAGAUCCCGCACUGCACACUUAGAUAUAGUCUUUGACUACAACAAGGGGAUGAAAGUACAGAAAGGUCCAAUUGAAAUCAAUUCUGUGCUGCGUCAUUUCUUCAUUCUGGAAGUCGAUGGACAUGAUUUAUCAUGGCAUCAAGUGUGCAGUUUGCCGACUAUCAGCAGUCUUGUUCACCAGCUGUGCAACUUGAGCUGGUAGCUUUAUUGCUUGAAGCCACUGCAUAAGAGGGGGAAGGUGCAGGCUCAUCAAAAAGUCUCAAAAGUUGAAACUAGGAAAAGGAG